GCAUUAAUGGGGUAGUGGUAACCUGGGUCGUUGCCAUUCGACGUACGCGUCGACCCGCCGGGGGUUCGAUUCCCUCUUAAUGCA